GGCCAGACUUUGAUCCUGGCUCAGGAUGAACGCUAGCUACAGGCCUAACACAUGCAAGUCGAGGGGAAACGGCAGCUUAGCUUGCUAAGCUGGACGUCGACCGGCGCACGGGUGAGUAACGCGUAUCCAACCUGCCCCACGGUGAGGGAUAACCCGCGGAAACGCGGCCUAAUACCUCAUGGUCUCCGAGUUUGCCAUCAACCUUGGAGUAAAGAUUCAUUGCCGUGGGAUGGGGAUGCGUCUGAUUAGCUUGUUGGCGGGGCAACGGCCCACCAAGGCAACGAUCAGUAGGGGUUCUGAGAGGAAAGCCCCCCACAUUGGAACUGAGACACGGUCCAAACUCCUACGGGAGGCAGCAGUGAGGAAUAUUGGUCAAUGGGCGAGAGCCUGAACCAGCCAAGUAGCGUGCAGGAAGACGGCCCUAUGGGUUGUAAACUGCUUUUAUGCGGGGAUAAAGCGGGCGACGUGUCGCCCUUUGCAGGUACCGCAUGAAUAAGGACCGGCUAAUUCCGUGCCAGCAGCCGCGGUAAUACGGAAGGUCCGGGCGUUAUCCGGAUUUAUUGGGUUUAAAGGGAGCGCAGGCCGGGUAUUAAGCGUGUUGUGAAAUGUAGGCGCCCAACGUCUGCACCGCAGCGCGAACUGGUGCCCUUGAGUACGCACGACGUUGGCGGAAUUCGCCGUGUAGCGGUGAAAUGCUUAGAUAUGGCGAAGAACUCCGAUUGCGAAGGCAGCUGACGGGAGCGCUACUGACGCUCAUGCUCGAAAGCGCGGGUAUCGAACAGGAUUAGAUACCCUGGUAGUCCGCGCGGUAAACGAUGGAUGCCCGCUAUUUGCGCAUUAGCGCAAGUGGCCAAGUGAAAACGUUAAGCAUCCCACCUGGGGAGUACGCCGGCAACGGUGCAACUCAAAGGAAUUGACGG
rnacentral:rRNA from 1 species